rnacentral:misc_RNA from 1 species
CAGAGCAUCGUGCCCUUCGGGGUAGAUCUCCCACCCUGUGUCUUAUGUUACUUGCGUUGCUUUGGCGGGCCGCCUCCUCGGCCACCGGCUCCGGCUGGUGCGCGCCCGCCAGAGGACCCCAAACCCUGAAUGUUAGUGUCGUCUGAGUACUAUAUAAUAGUUA